UACGUAGGGUGCAAGCGUUGUCCAGAAUUAUUGGGCGUAAAGGGCUCGUAGGCGGUCCGUCACGUCGGGAGUGAAAACUUGGGGCUUAACCCCAAGCCUGCUUCCGAUACGGGCGGACUAGAGGAAGGCAGGGGAGAACGGAAUUCCUGGUGUAGCGGUGAAAUGCGCAGAUAUCAGGAGGAACACCGGUGGCGAAGGCGGUUCUCUGGGCCUUACCUGACGCUGAGGAGCGAAAGCGUGGGGAGCAAACAGG
rnacentral:rRNA from 1 species